UGGGCGAAAGCCUGACGGAGCAAUACCGCGUGAGGGAAGACUGCCUAUGGGUUGUAAACCUCUUUUUUCAGGGAGGAAUAAAUGACGUGUACCUGAAGAAUAAGCAUCGGCUAACUCCGUGCCAGC
rnacentral:rRNA from 1 species